AUACGGAGGGUGCAAGCGUUGUUCGGAAUCACUGGGCGUAAAGCGCGCGUAGGCGGUUUGGUAAGUCGGAUGUGAAAGCCCCGGGCUCAACCUGGGAAUUGCAUUCGAUACUGCCGAACUAGAGUAUGGUAGAGGGAAGUGGAAUUUCCGGUGUAGCGGUGAAAUGCGUAGAUAUCGGAAGGAACACCAGUGGCGAAGGCGACUUCCUGGGCCAAUACUGACGCUGAGGUGCGAAAGCGUGGGGAGCAAACAGGAUUAGAUACCCCGGUAGUCC
rnacentral:rRNA from 1 species